rnacentral:rRNA from 1 species
GAUGAACGCUGGCGGCGUGCUUAACACAUGCAAGUCGAACGGAAAGGCCCAAGCUUGCUUGGGUACUCGAGUGGCGAACGGGUGAGUAACACGUGGGUGAUCUGCCCUGCACUUCGGGAUAAGCCUGGGGAACUGGGUCUAAUACCGGAUAGGACCACAUUUUGGAUGGUGUGGUGGAAAGUUUUUCGGUGUGGGAUGAGCUCGCGGCCUAUCAGCUUGUUGGUGGGGUAAUGGCCUACCAAGGCGUCGACGGGUAGCCGGCCUGAGAGGGUGUACGGCCACAUUGGGACUGAGAUACGGCCCAGACUCCUACGGGAGGCAGCAGUGGGGAAUAUUGCACAAUGGGCGCAAGCCUGAUGCAGCGACGCCGCGUGGGGGAUGACGGCCUUCGGGUUGUAAACUCCUUUCGCUAGGGACGAAGCGCAAGUGACGGUACCUGGAGAAGAAGCACCGGCUAACUACGUG